UACGAGGGGUCCUAGCGUUGUUCGGAAUCAUUGGGCGUAAAGAGCUCGUAGGUGGCUUAGUAAGUCAGGUGUGAAAGCCCAGGGCCCAACCCUGGAAGUGCACUUGAAACUGCAUAGCUUGAGUACGGUAGAGGUAAGUGGAAUUCCUGGUGUAGUGGUGAAAUACGUAGAUAUCAGGAGGAACAUCGGUGGCGAAGGCGGCUUACUGGACCAGUACUGACACUGAGGAGCGAAAGCAUGGGGAUCAAACAGG
rnacentral:rRNA from 1 species